GAUGAAGAACGCAGCGAAAUGCGAUAAGUAAUGUGAAUUGCAGAAUUCAGUGAAUCAUCGAAUCUUUGAACGCACAUUGCGCCCGCCAGUAUUCUGGCGGGCAUGCCUGUUCGAGCGUCAUUUCAACCUUCAAGCCCCCGGCUUGUGUUGGGGACCUGCGGCUGCCCGCAGGCCCUGAAAACCAGUGGCGGGCUCGCUGUCACUCCGAGCGUAGUAGCAUAUAUCUCGCUCAGGGCGUGCUGCGGGUUCCGGCCGUUAAAAGCCUUUUUUUACCCAAGGUUGACCUCGGAUCAGGUAGGAAGACCCGCUGAACUUAAGCAUAUCAAUAAGCGGAGGA
rnacentral:misc_RNA from 1 species